UUCUCUAAGAAAGCAAGAAUCUACAUCAACAAAAGGUCAGCUAGAAAAAAGGAUGGAACACUACAAAGGCUUGGAGGCUUUUCUCAGAGUUCUCCUACUAUUAUUCAUUCUAAAGCAAAGAAGCAGAUGGCAACAAUAAGCUCUCCAAAGAGCUCUCCGAAGUCUUCAGAACCAGAAAGUCUCAAAGGAAAUGAGAUCAAGCCCAAAAGAGCUAAGAGAAAGCUGUAUUCAACUGACAUUUCCUCCCCUCUAGAUAUCUCUGCUUCUUCAAUUUUUAUAGAACAAAAUGAGAAGGAAAGUGAUCAUCUAAUCAUCAAGCGACGUCUCCGAUCAAAACCAGCUAAAUAAUCUUGCAGAAGCAUGAUUGUACUUCCUAGUCAAGGCAUGCUUUAUUGUAUUAUUUUAGCUGAUUGUAUGUAGGAGGUGAUAGAUACUUUGUCAUGCUACUAAGCUGGUAUAUAGAUAUGUAGAAUAUUCCUGAUGGUUUCACACUUUGACUUAAUUAAAAUUGAAAUAAGCUCAA